rnacentral:rRNA from 1 species
GAAUUAUGGACAAUGGGCGAAAGCCUGAUCCAGCAACGCCGCGUGCAGGAUGAAGGCCUUCCGGCUGUAAAUUCCCUUCUUACGUAACGAAAAGCUAUUGGCUAAUACCCUGGAGUCUUGACUGCACCGUAAGAAUAAGCACCGUCGCACUACGUCCCACCAGCCGCGGGAAAACGUAGGGUGCAAGCGUUAAUCGGAACUACUGGGAGUAAAGGGUGCGCAGGCGGUUUUGGUAGGCAGAGGGGAAAUCCCCGGGCUCAACCUGGAAACUGCCUUUGUGACUGCGGGGCUAGAGUACGGCAGAGGGGGGUGGAAUUCCGCGUGUAGCAGUGAAAUGCGUAGAUAUGCGGAGGAACACCGAUGGCGAAGGCAACCCCCUGGGCCUGUACUGACGCUCAUGCACGAAAGCGUGGGGAGCAAACA